AUGUUAGUAUAAAAACCUCAGCACUGGAGGUGGUCAUCAGUUCGUCCAUGAUCACUCCCAGUAGCACAACACAGCCCUUCCUCCUGCUCCAGCACCACCUCUCACAGCGCCACUGUCGCCACCACAUUCUCCAACACCACCAAUAUGGUGUACAAAGACAGGUAUCUUCAUCGCCCUGCUGGUCAGAGUGAGCCUGGCGGCGGUGUCCUUUCAACACCCUAAGGAGACGGGACACACCCUAGUUUCGCACCAUCCUCAUGAAAAGAGCCGAUUCUUGAUCUUCCUGGGUGGAGACUACACAGUGACCAUAGGAGUGGCCUCCAUCAUCUCUGCUGUGCUGACGAGACUUGUAUCAUGGCUCGCCACACUCGCCAUCUCUCACUUCAUUUCCAGAGACGGUGCCCCUAGUCGCAAACCCCCAGCGAAACACAGCUCCAGCAACACCGUCCACCGCCUCCACCAGACCCCAGCUGCUGCUGCCAACUACUAGUACAACAGCAUAUCAGGCACUCCUGUUUUAAGACACUCCUGUUAUAUGGCACUCCUGUUAUAUGGCACUCCUGUUAUAUGGCACUCCUGUUAUAUGGCACUCCUGUUAUUUUACAUCCCUUUUACCAUACUUACCUGUUAUCCAACACAUCUGUUGUUCAACACACCUGUUGUUCAACACACCUGUUGUUCAAUACACCUGUUGUUCAACACACCUGUUGUUAAAUACACCUGUUGUUAAAUACACCUGUCGUUCAACACACCUGUUGCUAAAUACACCUGUUGUUCAACACACCUAUUGUUCAACACAUCUGUUGUUCAAUACACCUGUUGUUCAAGACACCUGUUGUUCAACACACAUGUUGUUCAACUCAUCUAUUGUUCAACACACCUGUUGUCCAACACACUUGUUGUUCAACACACCUGUUGUUCAUUACACCUGUUGUCCAACACACUUGUUGUCCAACACGCUUGUUGUUCAACACACCUAUUGUUCAACACACCUGUUGUCCAACA